GACGAACGCUGGCGGCGUGCCUAAUACAUGCAAGUCGAGCGCUGAAGGUUGGUACUUGUACCAACUGGAUGAGCAGCGAACGGGUGAGUAACGCGUGGGGAAUCUGCCUUUGAGCGGGGGACAACAUUUGGAAACGAAUGCUAAUACCGCAUAAAAACUUUAAACACAUGUUUUAAGUUUGAAAGAUGCAAUUGCAUCACUCAAAGAUGAUCCCGCGUUGUAUUAGCUAGUUGGUGAGGUAAAGGCUCACCAAGGCGAUGGUACAUAGCCGACCUGAGAGGGUGGACGGCCACCAUGGGACUGAGGAACGGCCCAAACCUCCACGGGAAGGAGCAGGAGGGGAACUUUGGGAAAUGACGGAAGUCUUACCGAAGAACGCCGCGGGAGUGGAGAAGGGUUUCGGGUCGGAAAACUCUGUUGGUAGAGAAGAACGAUGGUGAGAGUGGAAAGCUCAUCAAGUGACGGUAACUACCCAGAAAGCGACGGCUAACUACGUG
rnacentral:rRNA from 1 species